rnacentral:rRNA from 1 species
AACGAACGCUGGCGGCAUGCCUAACACAUGCAAGUCGAACGAGACCUUCGGGUCUAGUGGCGCACGGGUGCGUAACGCGUGGGAAUCUACCCUCAGGUUCGGAAUAACUCAGAGAAAUUUGAGCUAAUACCAGAUGAUGACGUAAGUCCAAAGAUUUAUCGCCUGAGGAUGAGCCCGCUUAGGAUUAGGUAGUUGGUGAGGUAAAGGCUCACCAAGCCGACGAUCCUUAGCUGGUCUGAGAGGAUGAUCAGCCACACUGGGACUGAGACACGGCCCAGACUCCUACGGGAGGCAGCAGUGGGGAAUAUUGGACAAUGGGCGAAAGCCUGAUCCAGCAAUGCCGCGUGAGUGAUGAAGGCCUUAGGGUUGUAAAGCUCUUUUACCCGGGAUGAUAAUGACAGUACCGGGAGAAUAAGCUCCGGCUAACUCCGUG